GCCAGACUCCUACGGGAGGCAGCAGUGAGGAAUAUUGGUCAAUGGCCGAGAGGCUGAACCAGCCAAGUCGCGUGAGGGAAGACGGCCCUACGGGUUGUAAACCUCUUUUGUCGGGGAGCAAAGCGAACCACGUGUGGUCCAUUGAGAGUACCCGAAGAAAAAGCAUCGGCUAACUCCGUGCCAGCAGCCGCGGUAAUACGGAGGAUGCGAGCGUUAUCCGGAUUUAUUGGGUUUAAAGGGUGCGUAGGCGGAAUGCCAAGUCAGCGGUAAAAUCGCGGGGCUCAACCUCGCUCCGCCGUUGAAACUGGCGUUCUUGAGUGGGCGAGAAGUAUGCGGAAUGCGUGGUGUAGCGGUGAAAUGCAUAGAUAUCACGCAGAACUCCGAUUGCGAAGGCAGCGUACCGACGCCCAACUGACGCUGAAGCACGAAAGCGUGGGUAUCGAACAGGAUUAGAUACCCUUGUAG
rnacentral:rRNA from 1 species